rnacentral:rRNA from 1 species
GUAGGUGGCAAGCGUUGUCCGGAAUUAUUGGGCGUAAAGCGCGCGCAGGCGGUUCUUUAAGUCUGAUGUGAAAGCCCACGGCUCGACCGUGGAGGGUCAUUGGAAACUGGAGAACUUGAGUACAGAAGAGGAAAGCGGAAUUCCACGUGUAGCGGUGAAAUGCGUAGAGAUGUGGAGGAACACCAGUGGCGAAGGCGGCUUUCUGGUCUGUAACUGACGCUGAGGCGCGAAAGCGUGGGGAGCAAACAGGGAUUAGAUACCCUGGUAGUCCACGCCGUAAACGAUGAGUGCUAAGUGUUAGGGGGUUUCCCGCCCCUUAGUGCUGCAGCUAACGCAUUAAGCACUCCGCCUGGGGAGUACGGCCGCAAGGCUG